UCUGAAGCUUACUGUGCCAUAUCCAGGUGUGUGAUGCUGCCACAAAAUGAUAAUCUGCAUUAGUAAUGCAUAAUACGUAUUGGGGCACCUAGACCAGUGGUAGACCAUUCUUUCAUUCAUGUUUUAAUACGAUGAAGAUUGACGCUAUCUUCAUAUUAUGGGUUGUUAGCAUGUAUGCUACCAAAUUCCUUCUUGCCUCUUGGACUGUUAAGAGAAACCAUGGGCUCUUGGAUUGGAGGCCAGAUCCUGCUGCAGCAAGCAGCUCAGAGUAUGCAGAGCCAAUCAUUUUUUUGAAGAAUUCAAAUCAGCCACUCAGAAUUUCUGCUGUAAUGGAGGAGUUUUGGCCACAACGAAA